rnacentral:rRNA from 1 species
CCCUACGGGGUGCAGCAGGAGCUCCGCUAUCCAAGGGCACGGCCUAUCUCUACUACUAUUUUGCAAAGGGCACUCUCGCUGGCUAUUUGUAUGACAAUCCGGGGCGCAAUACGCAUGAACCAGUGGGGUCAGCCGACCUUCUCCAGCAGGCCAUCUGGUAUCUCGAGGAUGAGUUGGCGUAUGUCAGGCAGCCAGACAUUGCGACCAACCCGUAUUGGAUGAUGGUUCAAAACCUCUAUGGCGCAGGAGCCAAGGAUGAUGCAAACGGCGCAUUCGGCGUGGCGGUCCUGAACAUCACGGACUUCAGCGGCGGUCCCGGGCAGGAUGUACUGGUGCUGACGCGGCCUGUGCCUGAGCCCACGACCUUGGUUCUCUUUGGAUUGGGUAUCAUCGGCUGGGCGGGGGGGC